UUAGAGUUUGAUCCUGGCUCAGAAUGAACGUUGGCGGCGUGGAUUAGGCAUGCAAGUCGAGCGAGAACCCGCAAGGGGGACAGCGGCAAACGGGGUAGUAACGGGUAGGCAACGUACCCUUCGGAUGGGGAUAGCCACGGGAAACUGUGGGUAAUACCCAAUAAUCUCUCUGAUAAUCAUCGUUAGAGAGCAAAGGUGUGAUUCCACCGGAGGAGCGGCCUGCUUCGUAUUAGCUAGUUGGUGAGGUAACGGCUCACCAAGGCGACGAUGCGUAGGGGGUGUGAGAGCAUGACCCCCACCACUGGGACUGAGAUACUGCCCAGACACCUACGGGUGGCUGCAGUCGAGAAUCUUCGGCAAUGGGGGAAACCCUAACCGAGCGACGCCGCGUGUGGGAUGAAGGCCCUUGGGUUGUAAACCACUGUCAGAGGGGAUGAAGUGCGGGAGAGCAAUCUCUUCCGUUUGACAUAGCCUCAGAGGAAGCACGGGCUAAGUUCGUGCCAGCAGCCGCGGUAAUACGAACUGUGCAAACGUUAUUCGGAAUCACUGGGCUUACAGGGUGCGUAGGCGGCUUGUUAAGCAGGGUGUGAAAUCCCUCGGCUCAACCGAGGAAUUGCGCCCUGAACUGGCGAGCUUGAGU
rnacentral:rRNA from 1 species